CCUACGGGAAGGCAGCAGUGGGGAAUUUUCCGCAAUGGGCGAAAGCCUGACGGAGCAACGCCGCGUGAGGGAUGAAGGCCUCUGGGCUGUAAACCUCUUUUAUCAAGGAAGAAGAUCUGACGGUACUUGAUGAAUAAGCCACGGCUAAUUCCGUGCCAGCAGCCGCGGUAAUACGGGAGUGGCAAGCGUUAUCCGGAAUUAUUGGGCGUAAAGCGUCCGCAGGCGGCCUGACAAGUCUGCUGUUAAAGCGUGGAGCUUAACUCCAUUUCAGCAGUGGAAACUGUCAGGCUUGAGUGUGGUAGGGGCAGAGGGAAUUCCCGGUGUAGCGGUGAAAUGCGUAGAUAUCGGGAAGAACACCAGUGGCGAAAGCGCUCUGCUGGGCCAUCACUGACGCUCAUGGACGAAAGCCAGGGGAGCGAAAGGGAUUAGAUACCCCUGUAGUCCUGGCCGUAAACGAUGAACACUAGGUGUCGGGGGAAUCGACCCCUCCGGUGUCGUAGCCAACGCGUUAAGUGUUCCGCCUGGGGAGUACGCACGCAAGUGUGAAACUCAAAGGAAUUGACGG
rnacentral:rRNA from 1 species